UGGGGAAUUUUGGACAAUGGGGGAAACCCUGAUCCAGCCAUCCCGCGUGUGCGAUGAAGGCCUUCGGGUUGUAAAGCACUUUUGGCAGGAAAGAAACGUCAUGGGUUAAUACCCCGUGAAACUGACGGUACCUGCAGAAUAAGCACCCGCUAACUACGUGCCAGCAGCCGCGGUAAUACGUAGGGUGCAAGCGUUAAUCGGAAUUACUGGGCGUAAAGCGUGCGCACGCGGUUCGGAAAGAAAGAUGUGAAAUCCCAGAGCUCAACUUGGGAGCUGCAAAUAUAACUACCGGGCUAGAGUGUGUCAGAUGGGGGUGCAAUUCCGCGUGUAGCAGUGAAAUGCGUAGGAAUGCGAAGGACCACCAAUGGCGAAGGCGGCCUCCUGGGAUAACACUGACAAUCAUGCACGAAAGCGUGGGGAGCAAACAGG
rnacentral:rRNA from 1 species